rnacentral:rRNA from 1 species
CACGUAGGGCGCAAGCGUUUGUCCGGAAUUAUUGGGCGUAAAGAGCUCGUAGGCGGUCUGUUGCGUCCGCUGUGAAAACUCGGGGCUUAACCCCGAGCCUGCAGUGGAUACGGGCAGACUAGAGGUAGGUAGGGGAGAAUGGAAUUCCCGGUGUAGCGGUGAAAUGCGUAGAUAUCUGAAGGAACAUCAGUGGCGAAAGCGACUUCCUGGACCAAUACUGACGCUCAUGUGCGAAAGCGUGGGGAGCAAACAGG